GACGAACGCUGGCGGCGUGCUUAACACAUGCAAGUCGAACGAGGUCCAUGAAGUAGCAAUACUUCGGAAGACCUAGUGGCGAACGGGUGCGUAACACGUGAGGAACUUGUCCCGGUCUCUGGGAUAACAGUUGGAAACGACUGCUAAUACCGGAUGACGUCGGAGCAUCGCAUGGUGCGCUGACGAAAGGGUUACUGGAUCGGGAGAGCCUCGCGGCCUAUCAGCUUGUUGGUGGGGUUACGGCCUACCAAGGCAUCGACGGGUAGCUGGUCUGAGAGGAUGAUCAGCCACACUGGGACUGAGACACGGCCCAGACUCCUACGGGAGGCAGCAGUGGGGAAUCUUGCGCAAUGGGCGAAAGCCUGACGCAGCAACGCCGCGUGCGGGAAGAAGGGCUCUCGGGUUGUAAAACCGCUUUCAGCAGGAACGAAAAUGACGGUACUUGCAGAAGAAGGUGCGGGCCAAACUACGUGCCAGCAGCCGCGGUAA
rnacentral:rRNA from 1 species